UAAAAAACCCUGACACUAAAACUGCUGACCUAAGGCUGGCAGCUGCAGAGAUUUGAGCUCUGUGAGGAUCACAUGGGAUGAAGGACUUGAAAGGACCCAGGGCAGUGUCAGGGGCCCAAUCAUCCUGCCUCUGCCUUCUGCCCCUCGGCCCAUGUCAGCCCCCAAGACCUGAGUGACUGUGAUGCUGAAGAGGAAG